rnacentral:misc_RNA from 1 species
UUUCCGUAGGUGAACCUGCGGAAGGAUCAUUAUUGAAUAUUCUUGAUGGGUUGUAGCUGGCUCUCCGGAGUAUGUGCACACUUAUCUUGACUUUAUUCAUCUACCUGUGCACCUUUUGUAGUCUUGGGGGUUGAAAGCAGUCGACUAUCGGAUGGCUAUAAUAGGCCUUUCCGGACGUGAGGAAUGCUGAGUGCGAAAGCAUACAGCUCUUCUCAAAUGACUACUCCUCUCCUUCAAGUACUAUGUAUUCAUAUACCACAUAGUAUGUCGUAGAAUGUGAUCAAUGGGAUGAUCAUAUACAACUUUCAGCAACGGAUCUCUUGGCUCUC